rnacentral:lncRNA from 1 species
CUAAAACAUUGGACUCAUUCCUAUUUCUUUCGUCUUUCUAAGGCUGUGGCCCCUGCCUGGAAUGCCCUCCCUUGCCAGUGCUUAGUCAUGCCCCCCAGAGUUCCGAGUUAACUUCUUGUGUGUACAGCUUUUGCCUUCCCAGCUCAUACUCAGUGCUGGGCUGGUCCUGCAAUCUGCGUUCUUGGUUUUGAAGAGCUUCUUUAUUAGACUUACACUGUUUUUAAAGCUUCGUUAUUUGACCCUGUGGCAGAAAACUAUGGAAUCCAAGCUGUGGCGUGUCAGUACAGCUGAGCCCUCCUGAUCCCUCUUGGCUGCACAGACCCGGCUCCACUUCUGUCCUUCUUUUACUGGAGAACUGAUGUCAGCCCGGCUGGAUUACAGCCCGGCGACCGUUCUGUUGCUAAUGAAUUGGCAGGGAGAACAAAACACUGCAGCGCUCCUGGAACGAUUUUGUCAUCCAUUUUUGGAGCACAAAAAACUUCGGGAUUUGGAAAAGAACAAAUGUCAUCUGAGUUGGUUUAUUUGCCUCAGGAUGUCAGGAUCCCCAGUUCACCACACCCUGAAUGUUUAUCUGAUUACAAGAACUCAUGCAAAUGACAAAAGGUUAAAGGGAAAAACUCCACCCUUGCAGCAUUUCCCUACAUGUUUCCCGCCCUCCAGGAUUGGCCGGCCGGCCUGGCUCAGGAAAAUUCUUAUAUUUACAGUCUUGUGAAUAGAGGGGCUAGGCUUGGCAGCUUCAAAAGGCUGAGGGAAUCUUGCAAAGUUGAGCUUGAAAGAGCCCUCAAGGAGCAUUAAGGCCCACAUUCUCCACUGAAGAUGAGAAACUAAAGCCAGAGAGAUGGCCUGGUGUUAUGGUUGAAUUGUGUCUCCCCAAAAUUCAUUUAUUGACAUCCUAAUGCCCAAAAUCUCAGAAUGUAACCUUAUUUGAAGACAGGGUCUUUACAAGGUAUAAGUUCAAGUUAGGUUAUCGGGGUGCGUCCUAAUUCAGUAUGACUGGCGUCCUUAGAAGAAGGAGAAAUAUGGACAGAGAGACACAUAUACAGGAAGAAUGCCAUGUGAACACGAAGACGGCCAUCUAAAGCCAAGGAGAGAGGCUGGGAACAGAGCCUCCCCUCACAGCUCUCAGAAGGAAACAGCCCUGCUAACAGUUUGAUUUCGGACUUCUCGUUUCCAGAACGGUGAGACAAUACAUUUCUGUUGUUUAAGCUCAGUUUGUGCUACUUUGUUGCAGCAGCCCUAGCAAACUAUUCCACCUGGAAUCUCGGUUCUAGAAUGGCCCAGCCAGUUGGUCUCCUGACUCCCGUGACUAAUACUCCUUGAAUCGCAUUGCCCCCUAGACUUGAGAUAGACUGUGAAAUUACUAUUUACGGAAAACGCGAGUACUUUUCAAGAGGGACAAUUGGUCUACGAAUUUGAAGAGCGGCGUCUCUGAUCUUCCAUGCUGGGAUCUGGGCGUGUAAACAGAGGCAGGAAGAUGCUGCCCGUCUACCCCCAUCUUAUUCAGUUUUAAAAGCUGCCACCGUUUAACUCACUUCCUCAGAGCCCCCAGGAAAUAGGCAUUCUCUUUUUAUACGAUUGCCUCAUUUUUAGUACUUAUUUCAAUUUCUCUAAGAAAUUCCCUGGGCAUUCUCUUUUUGUGAGGACAUUCUCUGUUUAGUAGCUAUCAUCUUCUAUUACGUCCAAAGUUGUGUUCCUUAUUUAUCAUUAAUGGUGCCUUUGGUUUCUAUCAAUUUAAUAUUAUGAAUGGGCUUGAAUUUAAUUUUUUUCUCUGUUUUUUGGCUGAGGAAGAUUAACCUUGAGCUAACAUCUGUGCCAAUCUUCCUUUAUUUUGUAUGUGGGACGCCACUACAGUGUGGCUGAUGAGUGGUGUAGGUCCGUACCCAGGACCGGAACCCGUAAAGCUGGGCCACAGAUGUGGAGCGCACUGAACUUAACCUCUAGACCAAGGAGUCAGCCCCCAUUGAAUUUCAUUUUUAUGCAGAUAAACCAUGGCACCGUAUUAGUGGAGAAACAUAUUUGAGGAAUGGAGUGAUAUGGAUAAUUUGCAAUAACUUUUCACACCGGAGUGAAAUUCUGACCUCAAGUUAAAACAAUAUCAACAACAACAAAAAAUAGCCUUCACUAUUAAGGCAGGUGCUUUUCCAAAGUGAGGUCCCCUAAAGGGGGCAUUAGGAGAUCAGGGGACUGACUGAGAACAUGAGAAGGCUCUGUUCUCCUUCAUGGCUCAGUGCUGAGGGAGGGGCAGAUAUAGAAAAGCAUUUGGACUAUCUAGGGAAAGCUUAGGGACAUCCCACAGAAAUUCCGGUGGACAGGUGAAGAGCCUGAGGACAGGCACUGAGCAGGAGUGGUGAUUAGCCAGCUGGCCCCAGAAGAACAUUCUCUGAGAAAUCUGUGCCUCUGCUGCCACCUGGAACCAUGUCAAUCAGACCGGCCUAUGCUGCCAGGGACUGACCACUACACUGGCUUUAUGAUGUGGCUUACAUAAACCCCUGUGUCACAGAAAGGGUGUAUCCAUGUGGGUUUAUGAUCAGUGGCUCCUAGAGUUUAGGAUUUCAUGACCCUUCCCCCAAUAAAAGAGGGGCACUGACAAAUGGUUGGUAGCUUUUAAUUCUGUCAAAUAAUAAUAGUAUAUAAAAAAUAGUACCCACAUUAUUUCAUAAAAAUAUGAAUAUUUUAACAAUUUUUUAAAUUAAAAAGACAAAUCCUAAGAACAAUGACAGUCUUUCCAUCAAAUGACAUUUGGUGAUCCUGAAAUGACAUUUUUUUUUGAAAAAAGGAUAUAUUUGUAAGUUUUUUCAAAUGGAAAAAUCACAACAUAAUGUUUUAUUUAUCACUGCCGCCUCUGGUACAGUUCCUGCUACUUGAGCCUGGACCCUGUCCCUGUGGUCCUGGGCUCUGUGGGGAGUUCUCUUAGCAACCCCAGCACCCUCACUGCUUCAGGGGACGGUGUCAGGGACGAUAGGGAGUCCCUGCCCUAAGAUGCAUCCCCUCCUUUUUGUAGCUCCCUUGUUUCUACCAAAACAGAUGCCCUUCCCCAAAGAGUCUUUGUAUCUCUUUACAGAGUGAAGAAUUAAAACUCGUUAUUACUUCCUGAUAGCUCCUUAAAAUGCUUUGUUAGCCGGUAUAAAUUAUCAAAAGGAUAUGUCAUCCCCCGCUACAAAGGUGAUGCCCCUCCUGUCUUCUGUUGGGUUCUCCCAGAAGCAGGUUCUGAGACAAGCCCAUUCUGAAUGCAAAUAGGUUAUUCAGAAGGGGAUCUCACUAGAGGAAUGGGGAUGUGAGACAGGGAAGGAAAGGCAGCCCACAGAGAGGAAGGAUUAAUGAGCCCAUUAUCACUGGGGCAGCUGGGAGACCCCUGGGAAACUGCAGAGUACCCCUUAGAGUGUUGUACCAUAAUUCCCAUCUGUUACUGGUUGAAUUCUGCUCCUGAGGGCAUGGAUUUCCCAGCACUUGCCACCUGCCCUGUGCUCAAGCCACGUGAGCUCCCACAGCCAGAGCCAGUCUUCAGGCAGAGUCACAGACGCCAUCUGCUUUUAUAACAGGGAGUGCUAGCGGAUGUAGGUGGGGCACCCAAGGCAUCACUAUACCCACUUUUGCAACCUUUGAACUCUUGAGACGAAUACACAAGUUGUAUCACUGGUCAUAUCUCUGACACUGACUGAAUACAGGGUCAUAUCACUGACUCUGACUUUCGAUAUAGAAAGUAGGAAGUUCUAUGACUCACUUUUGCCCUUAAAGGAAAAAGAAAAAGACCUUCUUCCGCAAAGAGCUGCAGCCCACUUUUCCAUGAGUCGCCAGACCAUCCCCAAUAAUCCUCGUCUCACACCCAUAGGGGAGACCACUGAUAGACAUCACGGUGAUAAAAUGCAUACGUUCAGGACAAAAAUCUCUCACCACUACCACAGGACUUUAACUAACAAUGAUCUAGACCAGAGAUGGCAAACUGAUUCCUCCCGUGUGCCGACUCUGAUCAGUCAAUUGUACUGUGUUGAGAAGAAUUCUGAAGCGUGGGGAGAAAGAGAGGGUUGGGUAUGGAUUAGAGCAGUUAGGUACCAAUCCAUAAGAGGGGCCAAAAAAAAAAAAAGAAGAAGAAAUCACUGGAAAACUUCAAAACUCCAAACAUAAUGAGGUGGAGAAAUCUGUAUUUUCAAGAUCCGUUCAGGAACAUACUACAUGUGUAUAUAUAUACGAUUGGAAGGAAUAUUUUUAUAAGGUCCUCGGGAGUAGCGGAUGAGGAACACAAUGAAACUGCAGCAUGCUCUAGUCACAUCUUCGGUCUGUCUGUUGUGGGUAGGGCGGACAGUCUAGGUUCUACUGUCAACAUAGAAGGUAAAAACCACUGUAGGCAAAAUUACAUUUAAAAGUCUCUUAAAAUGUCCUAAUGUCUCUAGUAUCUGGGCUCUCAGAAGCUGAAAAGCCGGGAUAGUUAAAUCCCCAAGUGCACAUAUGUUGCAACUCUACUGUAAUAAUAGGUGGUCACCAACCAGCCUUCUCAGGUGGCCACAGGGGCAGGUCUGGUCGGCUGUAGGCCCUUUAUUUUUCCGAGUGGAUUGUGUGAAAUGGUGGCUGCCUGUAGCUGCCCUCCUUACUCUCCCCACGCCUACUGCUCUGCUCUCCUUCUCAUGUUAAAUAUUCACAAAGUGAAAGUUAGGUUUCUACCUCACACAAUACAUGAAAGCCAAUUUCAGACAGAUUAAUGAGCUAAAUGUAAAAGACCAAAAUCAUUUUGAAAACUUAGAUCAAAUGAAAAGUUUGAUAAUAUCUAGAGUUGGCAAGGAUGUGCAGUCACAGGUUUAAUUUUAUCAGAGGGCUAUUGCUACUAAAACUGUCACUUCAUUUCUGGUUAUCUAUCCUGUAAGCAUACUCAUAUAGUGAACUAAGAUAGCCGUACAAGGUUAUUCAUUGCAGCAUUGUUUACAAUAGUGAAAAACUGGAAAUAACCAAAAUACUCCUCAAAGAAAAAGGGCUGCAUAAAUUAAGAUACAUCCUUAUAGAGUGAUACACAGCUUUUGAAAAGAAUAAGGUAAGGGCUGGCCUGGUGGUGUAGCGGUUAAGUUUGUGGUGCUCUGCUUCUGUGGCUAGGGGUUCCCUGGGUUGGAUCCUGGGUGUGGACCUACCCACCACUCAUCAAGCCAUGCUGUGGCAGCAUCCCACAGAGAAGAACUAGAAGACUUACAAGUAGGAUAUACAGUAUGUACUGGGGCUUCAGGGAGGGAAAAAAAAAAGGAAGAUUGGCAACAGAUGUUAGCUCAGGGCCAAUCUUCCUCACCAAAAAAAAAAAGGCAUAUCUUUAAAAAACAAACAAAAGAAUAAGGUAAAUUUAUACAUAUUGACAUGGAAAUAGAUACGUCACAACUUAUUUGAAUUCAAUUUUUUCAUUUGUAAGAUGGGGAGGUUGAACUAAAGAUCCUCGAAGAUUUCUUUUAACUUCGUUCUACGAAAAGAGAAGUCUGUCACAUAGCUCAGGGAUUUUGUGCUCUUAAAAAAUACAAUUUUCCUUUUUCAUUGUUUCUCUUGGGAAAAUCUAAAAUUCACAAAGCCGGCGACUCCCUCUCCACUUUUUCUCCUUUCUCAAGAUUAAAUCUGCUUUCUUUCUCAAUUUAG